UCUCCUUUCUGGAGGUCAGGGGCACACACCUGAGGGUGUCUGUUAACGCCGGCUCUCCUCCUGGCACUGACCUCUUUUGCAGCUCCUGUUAUGCAGUGUUCCCCUUCCAGCAGGUGUCCCUCUGCGUGGGCUGCCUCAUUGGCCUGGUCAUGUUCGCGUAUUACCAGGAGUAUCCCAUGAGCAUUCAGCAGGCUCAGGCAGCCCCAGACCAGUUCGUCCUGUACUUUGUGAUGGAUCUCCUGAAGGGCCUGCCGGGCCUGCCAGGGCUCUUCAUUGCCUGCCUCUUCAGCGGCUCUCUCAGCACUAUAUCCUCUGCUUUUAAUUCAUUGGCAACUGUUACGAUGGAAGACCUGAUUCGACCUUGGUUCCCUGAGUUCUCUGAAGCCCGGGCCAUCAUGCUUUCCAGAGGCCUUGCCUUUGGCUAUGGGCUGCUUUGUCUAGGAAUGGCCUAUAUUUCCUCCCAGAUGGGACCUGUGCUGCAGGCAGCAAUCAGCAUCUUUGGCAUGGUUGGGGGACCGCUGCUGGGACUCUUCUGCCUUGGAAUGUUCUUUCCAUGUGCUAACCCUCCUGGUGCUGUUGUGGGCCUGUUGGCUGGGCUCGUCAUGGCCUUCUGGAUUGGCAUUGGGAGCAUCGUGACCAGCAUGGGCUCCAGCAUGCCACCCUCUCCCUCUAAUGGGUCCAGCUUCUCCCUGCCCACCAAUCUAA
rnacentral:sRNA from 1 species